AUAUAUAGUCAAGUACUUAUUUAAUAAAAAUAAUUCAUAAAAAUCUUUAAAAAAUAGUCAUAUUCUCUCCUCACUUAGCUUUGGGAAUAGAUAAGAAAGAGAAUGGCUGACUUCUGGAUUUCCAGGUUUGUGAGAGCCUCUCGAGGUUGAGAAAAGACCAAGUGAUUGGAGCCUCACUGUAAAGAUAAAGGAAGAUUAUUCAACCCUCCAGUGGUACUUGCCAAGAGAUACAGAAGUCUGGAUCUGCAAUGAGGCUGCAAGGUCCCCUGACAUGGACCAGAAUACUGCAGAAAGCGCCAGUGUGCAGUGGAUCCUCUUCAUAAGGCCCUGCCAGAAAUAUCCCCAGGUUCAAGCAAUUCACAACCGCUCACCUUGCUGUGAAUGCUGUGCAAAGUUGUAGUUUGUGAACAUAUGGGAACCAGCCGUUAAUUCAGGCUUCUCAGAGAUUACAAAGCCUGCAGAGACUGUAAAAUCAGCACUGACUGCCAAAACUGGAGAGGAUUUAUCACUACCAGAUAAAACUGGCCAGCACAAUUCAAACACCUGGGCAAUUUUGCCUUAUCUUCCUAGGUAAGCUGGGUUCUUUUAUGUUCAUUAUCUGUACUGUUUAUGGAAGAUCUAAAGUGUAAAACAAGAAAAACCUGGUUUUAACAAUGAAUUCCAUUUAAUGUACAAAUAAUGUAAUAGUACAGUCCUUUUCGGACAGGACUAUGAUGGACAGCAGGGGAAGCCAUUAUCACUAAACUCUUUGUGUUUUUUUUUUUUCAAUAAAAUAAAAAAAAAGGGGGAUGGGAUGGGAUGGGAAAAGAAAAAAGACCUCUGAGUAGGGCUGACAUGCAAACUUCACGUAUCUUUUCUUUCUUCCUUGUCUCUUUUCCCGGCUUAGGAAGGAAGCUCUGAUAGAUUAGACUCCCUGUAGGUUGUAAAACUCAGAUGGAAACAGAGUCGACCCUGAUGGUAUCAAGCCCUCACAAUGUAGAUUUCAACAUAAUAAAGUAAUGAAUUUUAAAUGAUAGAAUCAGAAUUUCUUCGGGGAUGGAAGGGAAAUGAUAAAGAUCACAGCCUGCACCUCCACCUAUGCCUACAAGAACAAAAAAAAAUUUUUUUUCAACUUUAACUUUCACAACUGACAUCACUUUCUUUUAUUUAACCAUUGAUAUGGUUUCCUUUAUGAGCCUGGAGGCUCACUCAAGCUGGAAAUAUGGCAGAUAGCUACAAAGCACUUAUCAAAUUCUAGAAGACACAAUUCUACAAUGAAUGGAAAACACCUGCUCUGCCUGAAAUAGCUUCCAUGUUUCUAAUCGUGCAUUAAAAAAGUAACUACAAAAUCUCAGGGUCUACUGAUGAAUCUGUACAGAAUGUUACUGAGCAACUUGAUGUUUAACUUGAGGUUAUUUUUUUUUAAUGUUUAUUUACUUUUGAGAGAGAGACAGACAGAGUGUAAGCAGGGGAAGGGCAGAAAGAGAGAGGGAGACACAGAAUCCGAAGCAGGCUCCCCACUCUGAGCUGUCAGCCCACAGCCCAACUCGGGCCUGGAACUCACUAGCCUUGAGAUCAUGACCUGAGGGUCGGAAGUUUCACGGAAUGAGCUACUGAGG